CGUCUUCCUACGUAGUCCUUGUGUGAUGCUGCACAUUAUCCAGGACCAAUGAUUGGAUUGGAUUUACUGUACUCACUCCAAAACUCAUGACCUUUCAUCCCUGUAGAAGUCUCCCAGACUUCCCCCUUUCCCCCAGGUGAGUCUACUGGACUAUGGAACUAUAGAGCAACACAUCAACAAACCUGUCAACCUGUCCGUCCCCAGGUGAGUCUACUGGACUAUGGAACUAUAGAGCAACACAUCAACAAACCUGUCACCCUGUCCGUCCCUCUGUCCCCAGGUGAGUCUGCUGGGCUAUGGAACUCUAGAGCAACACAUCAACAAACCUGUCACCCUGUCCGUCCCUCUGUCCCCAGGUGAGUCUACUGGACUAUGGAACUCUAGAGCAACACAUCAACAAACCUGUCAACCUGUCCGUCCGUCUGUCCCCAGGUGAGUCUACUGGACUAUGGAACUCUAGAGCAACACAUCAACAAACCUGUCACCCUGUCCGUCCCUCUGUCCCCAGGUGAGUCUGCUGGACUAUGGAACUCUAGAGCAACACAUCAACCAACCUGCCACCCUGUCCGUCCCUCUGUCCCCAGGUGAGUCUACUGGACUAUGGAACUCUAGAGCAACACAUCAACAAACCUGUCACCCUGUCCGUCCCUCUGUCCCCAGGUGAGUCUGCUGGACUAUGGAACUCUAGAGCAACACAUCAACCAACCUGCCACCCUGUCCGUCCCUCUGUCCCCAGGUGAGUCUACUGGACUAUGGAACUCUAGAGCAACACAUCAACAAACCUGUCACCCUGUCCGUCCCUCUGUCCCCAGGUGAGUCUGCUGGACUAUGGAACUCUAGAGCAACACAUCAACAAACCUGUCACCCUGUCCUUCCUCUGUCCCCAGGUGAGUCUGCUGGACUAUGGAACUCUAGAGCAACACAUCAACAAACCUGUCACCCUGUCCGUCCCUCUGUCCCCAGGUGAGUCUGCUGGACUAUGGAACUCUAGAGCAACACAUCAACAAACCUGUCACCCUGUCCGUCCCUCUGUCCCCAGGUGAGUCUGCUGGACUAUGGAACUCUAGAGCAACACAUCAACAAACCUGUCACCCUGUCCGUCCCUCUGUCCCCAGGUGAGUCUACUGGACUAUGGAACUCUAGAGCAACACAUCAACAAACCUGUCAACCUGUCCGUCCGUCUGUCCCCAGGUGAGUCUACUGGACUAUGGAACUCUAGAGCAACACAUCAACAAACCUGUCACCCUGUCCGUCCCUCUGUCCCCAGGUGAGUCUGAUGGACUAUGGAACUCUAGAGCAACACAUCAACAAACCUGUCACCCUGUCCGUCCCUCUGUCCCCAGGAGGAGCUGUUUUCCUUCCUGGCAGUGAUAUGACUCAAGUGUUGCUCUCCUGAGCCGCUAUCAGCUGCUGUUCUACCAGAAAGAUGGCUCUGCGGAGAUGUUGACAGCACCCAAGCAAUCAUCAAUUCUGAGCACAGCUGCAAGCGACCAGAUCGUAAUGCCCAUGAUCAAUUUGGUUUGACAUUCAAUAUCCCUUUGGGGAUAGUUAGGGACCAUCAGUAAAUUACAAAAUGUACAGGGGGACAAUAUUUUGUCAAUAGUUCCAAAUGUCAAUGACUUCAAACCAACUAUAAAUAGUAGCAAUUAAUAUACAAUUAUUGAAAACAUUUAAGAACUCAAAUAUGUGCAACGUAAAAAGUAUUGUCACAUUUUACAUUGUGUAAUUUAUUGACGAUCCCUAACUAGCUCCAGUGCAAGGCUAUCCAAGGUCAAACCAACUGUGCCACGGUCACACACUGGCCGGCUGAAGCUAAUUGGUGAAAGAAGUUGACUAGUUAGUCUAGGCUACUUUCAGACAAGACCUGGUUAGACUGUUUCAAGUCAUCUAGAGGGUUUGAUGUGAAAAACCAGCGCACCUUGUUGAGGAGGACCACAUGUCAUGACCUUCACCAGGAGGGCCUCUUUGUGGGGAACCGUGUGAAUGUGUUCUCCUGCCAACUCAAUCUGAUUGUAUAUUGGGGACCAGUAUACAGGAAACAAGCUCGGCAGCAAGAAAGAGAGGACAAUGACCCAACACCUCCAGGCUGUGUAAGGCCUAUUUGACCAAGAAGGAGAGUGAUGGCGUGCUGCAUUAGAUGACCUGGCCUCCACAAUCAUCCGACCUCAACCCAAUUGAGAUGGUUUGGGACGAGUUGGACCACAGAGUGAAGGAAAAGCAGCCAACAAGUGUGCAGCAUAUGUGGGAACUCCUUCAAUACUGUUGGAAAAGCAUUCCAGGAAGCUGGCGGCAGACUUUUACACUGAACAUCAGACAAAGUCUUUCUUCAACAACCUGGAAGCAAUUUAUGACCUCUGGGCCUGGGGUUGCCAUGGAGCUGAUGGGUGAAGAGGCGGUGUCAGUGUGGAGAAGGAUUCUAGGCCCCACUGACUGGGGCGUGGCACGGAAAGAGGCCCGACUCAGAGCCCAGGUUGGCACAGAUGACACCAGAAAUGCUGGACAUGCGUCUGACUCACUGGCUUCAGCAGUAAGACGGGCCAUGGUCCUGCUAACACGGCCACAGACUGUGCCUGUUGCGUCAUCAACCCUCACGCUAUAUCAGAAGG